rnacentral:antisense_RNA from 1 species
UUUUUUUUUUUUUUUUUUUUUUUUUUUUUUUUUUUUUUUUUUUGAGAGGGAGACUUGCUCUGUCAUCCAGGCUGGAGUGCAGUGGUGCGAUCUCGGCUCACUGCAAACUUCACCUCCCGGGUUCAAGGUAUUCUCCUGCCUUAGCCUCCAGAGUAGCUGGGAUUACAGGCGCCCGUCACCAUGCCUGGUUAAUUUUUGUAUUUUUAUAGAGAUGGGGUUUCACCACGUUAGCCAGGAUGGUCUCGAUCUCCUGACCUCGUGAUCCGCUCGCCUCAGCCUCCCAAAGUGCUGGGAUUACAGGCGUGAGCCACCGCGCCCGGCUGCCUUCAGCCUUUUUAUGGCAAGGCUCUGGAGGCCACCCUGCUUCCAAAGGCUAGGUCUGCCUUCUAACUCUAGCCAGGCUG